rnacentral:rRNA from 1 species
UACGUAGGCAGCAAGCGUUGUUCGGAAUUACUGGGCGUAAAGAGUGUGUAGGCGGUGCUCUAAGUUCGGUGUGAAAUCUCCCGGCUUAACUGGGAGGGUGCGCCGGAAACUGGAGUGCUCGAGCGUGGGAGAGGAAAGCGGAAUUCCUGGUGUAGCGGUGAAAUGCGUAGAUAUCAGGAGGAACACCUGCGGUGUAGACGGCUUUCUGGACCAUUGCUGACGCUGAGACACGAAAGCGUGGGUAGCAAACAGG